rnacentral:rRNA from 1 species
GUUGACCUCGGAUCAGGUAGGGAUACCCGCUGAACUUAAGCAUAUA